rnacentral:rRNA from 1 species
CCUACGGGAGGCAGCAGUGAGGAAUAUUGGUCAAUGGGCGCGAGCCUGAACCAGCCAAGUAGCGUGAAGGAUGACUGCCCUACGGGUUGUAAACUUCUUUUAUAAAGGAAUAAAGUGAGGCACGUGUGCCUUUUUGUAUGUAUUUUAUGAAUAAGGAUCGGCUAACUCCGUGCCAGCCGCCGCGGUAAUACGGAGGAUCCGAGCGUUAUCCGGAUUUAUUGUGUUUAAAGGGAGCGUAGAUGGGUUGUUAAGUCAGUUGUGAAAGGUUGCGGCUCAACCGUAAAAUUGCAAUUGAUACUGGCAGCCUUGAGUACAGGUGAGGUAGGCGGAAUUCGUGGUGUAGCGGUGAAAUGCUUAGAUAUCACGAAGAACUCCGAUUGCGAAGGCAGCUUACUAAACUGUGACUGACAUUGAGGCUCGAAAGUGUGGGUAUCAAACAGGAUUAGAUACCCUUGUAGUC